UUUCAAUGUCUUUUGCAGGAUUUUAUGGAUAUUUUUAGUGAGUCCCCUAAAGGUUUACCACCUUUACGUGGGAUAGAACACUUCCAUUGGCCACAUAUGAAGAAGGAUGUCGAAAAGUUUCUGUGGUUAUACAUGAAGUUUGAGUUGCAUUUGACAAAGGUUAACUCAACAACGGAGUUUCGACUACACUAUGCCCCCGAUGAGCGAAGGUUUGUAUUAAAUGGAAAAGG
rnacentral:lncRNA from 1 species